rnacentral:rRNA from 1 species
CUAGAGUUUGAUCCUGGCUCAGGACGAACGCUGGCGGCGUGCUUCAAACAUGCAAGUCGAACGGAGUUAAUUUUGAAGCUUGCUUUAGAAUUAACUUAGUGGCGGACUGGUGAGUAACGCGUGAGUAAUCUGCCUAUCACAGGGGGAUAACAGAGGGAAACUUCUGCUAAUACCGCAUAAGCGCACGGGACCGCAUGGUUUUGUGUGAAAAGCCGAGACGGUAUGAGAUGGACCCGCGUCUGAUUAGCUGGUUGGUGGGGUAACGGCCCACCAAGGCGACGAUCAGUAGCCGACCUGAGAGGGUGACCGGCCACAUUGGGACUGAGACACGGCCCAAACUCCUACGGGAGGCAGCAGUGGGGAAUAUUGCACAAUGGGGGAAACCCUGAUGCAGCGACGCCGCGUGAGUGAAGAAGUAUUUCGGUAUGUAAAGCUCUAUCAGCAGGGAAGAGAAUGACGGUACCUGACUAAGAAGCCCCGGCUAACUACGUGCCAGCAGCCGCGGUAA